UACAGAGGUCCCAAGCGUUGUUCGGAUUCACUGGGCGUAAAGGGUGCGUAGGUGGCAAGGUAAGUUUGAUGUGAAAUCUUCGAGCUCAACUCGGAAACUGCAUUGAAUACUAUCUUGCUUGAGGAUUGGAGGGGAGGCUGGAAUUCUCGGUGUAGCAGUGAAAUGCGUAGAUAUCAGGAGGAACACCGGUGGCGAAGGCGGGUCUCUGGGCAGUAACUGACGCUGAGGAGCGAAAGCGUGGGGAGCGAACAGG
rnacentral:rRNA from 1 species